rnacentral:rRNA from 1 species
AUGGACUACUAUACCACUGUAAACGCACCUAAUCUUGUCUGAUUUCAGGAGCUAACCAGGGUCAAGCCUGUGUGAAUGCCUGGAAGAGAAACCACCAAAAAAGACUGGUUCACUGGUUUGGGUCAGGUUGUGUUUGUC